rnacentral:rRNA from 1 species
CCAGCAGUGGGGAAUAUUGCACAAUGGGCGAAAGCCUGAUGCAGCCAUGCCGCGUGUAUGAAGAAGGUCUUCGGUUUGUAAAGUACUUUAAGUGGGGAGGAAGGGCAUGAAGUUAAUACCUUCCUUUUUUGACGUUACCUACACAAAAAGCCCCGGCUAACUCCGUGCCAGCAGCCGCGGUAAUACGGAGGGUGCAAGCGUUAAUCGGAAUUACUGGGCGUAAAGCGCGCGUAGGCGGUUUGUUAAGUCGGAUGUGAAAGCCCCGGGCUCAACCUGGGAAGUGCAUUGGAAACUGGCAAGCUUGAGUGCGGAAGAGGGGGGUGGAAUUCCAUGUGUAGCGGUGAAAUGCGCAGAGAUAUGGAGGAACACCAGUGGCGAAGGCGACUUCCUGGACUGUUACUGACGCUGAUGUGCGAAAGCGUGGGGAUCAAACAGGAUUAGAUACCCUGGUAGUCCACGCCGUAAACGAUGUCUGCUAGGAGGUUGGGGGCUUGAGGCCUUUAUUGCUGAACUUACGCGUUAAAUCGACCCCCCGGGGAGUACC